CUAAGGUCUUCUUUAGUUUUCUGUAGUUUUCAUUGUAGAGGUCUUUUACCUCUUGUUAGGUUGAUUCCCAAUUUUUUUGAGGCUAUUAUAAAUGGGAGUGUUUUCCUAAUUUCUCUUUAAGAGGAUUCAUCAUUGAUAUACAGAAAUGCAUUUGACUUAGGGGUGUUGAUUUUAUAUCCUGCUACUUUGCUGAAUUCAUAUAUGAGUUCUAGAAGUUUUCUGGUGGAAUUUUUAAUUUUGAUUAUUUUUCUAGGUCUUAAAAGUAUCUUUCAUUUAUUUAAGUUUUUGAUACAAACUUUUCAUUGGUUUGUCAUCCUUCUCAAUGUGCACAGUCCUGGUUGAACUAGCCAAACUAUCAGAUUUCUGCCAAUUUUACAUCUCCCUCUCAUGUUACACUCCUUGUCUUAUUUUAUACCUUCAUCUUCCAAAUUUCUCUCAUAAAACCUCUUCAUGUGAGAUGGAUAUUACUACCCUAAAUACAUGUAUGAAGACACAAAUGGUGUGACUCUACUUUAUGUACCACCAUAGAUAUGAAAAAUUGUGUAAUAUGAAUUGUAAUGCAUUCUGCUGUCAUACAUAACAAAUUAGAAUAAAAAAUAAGAAAUAAAGCUCUUCACAAUAUUCUUUUCAUCUUUAUUUUGGUCUGUUUUGUUGAUAGAAGCAACUGAGACUCUUUUAGUUUUUUUAAAAUCAGUUUUGUAUUUGUGUCUGAGCCAUAGGGACAUUUUCUGAUUCUGAUUUCAUGAAAAUUAAGCUCAUAUUUUUUAUAUAUUCCUGUCUGUACAUUGUCUGUUCAACUAGACAAAUGAUUCUUAAUAUUUUUUUAAUUUAGAGAGAGAGAGAGAUAAUUUUUUAAUAUUUAUUUUAGUUUUUGGUGGACACAACAUCUUUAUUUUUAUGUGGUGCUUAGAAUGGAACCCAGCACCCUGCGCAUGCCAGGCGAAUGCGCUACCACGUGAGCCACAUCCCAAGCCCCAAAUGAUUCUUGAAAAUCAUUUUUUUGUUGUUUUUGUUUAUUUGGGUUUUUGUUUGUUUAGGGAAGAUCUUGGUCUUUCACAUUAUCUUGUAU
rnacentral:lncRNA from 1 species